rnacentral:rRNA from 1 species
AUCCUAGCUGUAAACGAUGAUGACUAGGUGUGGGAGGUAUCGACCCCUCCCGCGCCGUCGCUAACGCAUUAAGUCAUCCGCCUGGGGAGUACGGCCGCAAGGUUAAAACUCAAAGGAAUUGACGGGGCCCGCACAAGCGGUGGAGCAUGUGGUUUAAUUCGACGCUACGCGAAGAACCUUACCUGGGCUUGAACCGUUAGUAGUAGCUCUUUAGAAAUAGAGGGCGAUCCGCAAGGAAGCUAGCAGAGGUGCUGCAUGGCUGUCGU